UUUACAAAAGUCCAGAUAGAUGACAUCUGUUGGUCUUCCCUUGUCCUCUGAUACAGUUACACCAUGGUAGAAAACUGCUGGAUUGGUGUGGGUAAGACUUGCCCUUGGUAAAGCCGUGCUGGCUGUCUUGAAUCACCUCCCUGUCCUACAUGUAUCCCAGUAUAGCUUCUUGUUCCAUGAUCCUCCCAGGCACAAAGUCUCCAGGGAUUUCUCUUUACUGCCAGGACUUUUCAAAUAUUAUGGGGAGUGACCUUGCAACUACUUCAGCCAAUUCUUUCAGAACUCUGAGAACUCCUUCCCAUGCAACAGGCAAAUUGCCUUAUGUGUGGCAGCAGAAUGAAAUCUAAUUUAAGAUGUGUUGAAGAUGAACCCAUGCUACAUUAUCGCCUUGAGCUUAGUCCAAUGCUCUCAGAUGAAGGUAUCUCUACAAAUUGUCUGCUUGAAAAAUAGCAUCAAGCUGGGUACAAACUGUGACUGGGUUUCUGAAAGCUAAAUUAAAACAGCUGGUAUCCAACUGUAGAAUUUUAAAAGCUGUUGCUCAGGUUGGCUGUUUGUAACAAGUGGGAUCUCUAUGAAGCCAGAGAAGAUCUAACUCUGAUCUCAGCACAGCUGAUCAAAACCUGUAUACUCAGGUUAAAACCCACUCACACCUUUCAAAACAGCAAAUUCUUGAUGUGUCAGAGAAAACAUAAUGGAAUGACUUUUUGCUGUAGCAGUCUGCCUGGAGUUUGUGACUGUGUGCAGCUCGUGGUCUGUGCUUCUCAGUGGAGUGAAGCAAGGAUCCAAACUUUUCAGGAUCCUGGAACUGCUGAAGUUGGAAUUAUCACCACAGUGGGAUGAAUGAACUUGCACAUUUCUAGCCAUAGAGAAAAGAGUGGUAUAGUGGCUAAACCAGGAGGUUGGAAACAAAACUGCCUUUCAGAUGAGUUCCUGGUCACCCUGCAAACUCUGUUCAAGAAAACAUCACCUAGAAAAGCAAAAUCUUACUAUGCUGCUUUCCUUUAGACUGAUUUGGGGGGUUUUGUGCUUGUUUUGUUGUUGUUGAUUUGGCUGUGUGGUUUUUUUUUUUUGUUCCUUUUGGGUGUGUUUUUUGUUGGGUUUGGUUUGCUUUUUGUUGCUGUUCAUUUGUUUUGGUUGGUUUCUUUGGGGUUUAAUUAAUACAUUUAAAAUGUAUGAUGUUUCUCAAAAACAGAGUAAUAGAACAGAAUAAGAAAGAACUUUCAUGUUCUCAUCAAAUAAAGAAAGAAUCCCAGGUGUUUUUAAA